GAUGAACGCUGGCGGCGUGCUUAACACAUGCAAGUCGAACGGUGAAAGCGGAGCUUGCUCUGCUGGAUCAGUGGCGAACGGGUGAGUAACACGUGAGCAAUCUGCCCUUGACUCUGGGAUAAGCGCUGGAAACGGCGUCUAAUACCGGAUACGAGCUGCGAAGGCAUCUUCAGCAGCUGGAAAGAACUUCGGUCAAGGAUGAGCUCGCGGCCUAUCAGCUUGUUGGUGAGGUAACGGCUCACCAAGGCGUCGACGGGUAGCCGGCCUGAGAGGGUGACCGGCCACACUGGGACUGAGACACGGCCCAGACUCCUACGGGAGGCAGCAGUGGGGAAUAUUGCACAAUGGGCGCAAGCCUGAUGCAGCAACGCCGCGUGAGGGACGACGGCCUUCGGGUUGUAAACCUCUUUUAGCAGGGAAGAAGCGAAAGUGACGGUACCUGCAGAAAAAGCACCGGCUAACUACGUGCCAGCCGCCGCAGUAA
rnacentral:rRNA from 1 species